rnacentral:lncRNA from 1 species
GAAUACUUCUUGAUGAAGUUCUGCAUCAAGUGUCUAAAGCAUUCCCUAUGUUUAGCUUGAGGGAAUACUUGCUUAACUGUAUUUUCCAAACCUUUACAAGCAUCUAUACAGAUGGCCAAAGGGGAAGCAUUCCCUAUUGCUUUAUUGAGCUGACUCAUAAACCAAACCCAAUUAUCUUCAGUCUCGGAAUCUAUGAAUCCAAAGGCUAUUGGAUACAUCUAUACCUGUAGCAGAAGCUAAAUGACCAUUCCACCUUCCAUUAAGUGCAGUUCCAUCAAUGGACAGGUAUGGUCUACAACCAGCCUUGAACCCCUCAAUGUAAGGGGCUAGUGCACAAAAAAAUCUACAAAAGUAAACUCUUCCUUGUAUAACCUCAGUAUCAAUCUCAACAACACUUCUUGGAGAUACCUUCUCAAUCUCUACCUUCCAAUUGUACAAUGUAUGGAAACUUUCUUCCCACGACCCAUAUAUCUGUUUCAAAG